AGCACGCAAACCACCUACACCAGCUCGG
rnacentral:sRNA from 1 species